UCUGGUCCAUAUGUUGGUAGAAUGUGCAU
rnacentral:piRNA from 1 species